AUGCAGAGAUAUUUUAAAAUUCACUUCUCAAUGGCAGUACAUGGAGGAAAUGGGGACAACAUCCAGGGUCCAGUGGCAGCAGAGUCUAGUGCGUACGGUCCAGGCUCUCUGAGCGGCACCACGGUGGUAGGCAAGAACAAGCGCCUUACAAAAGGCGGCAAAAAGGGAGCCAAGAAGAAAGUGAUUGAUUCAUUUUCUAAGAAAGAUUGGUAUGAUGUGAAAGCACCUGCUAUGUUCGAUGUAAGAAAUAUUGGCAAAACGCUGGUCACCAGGACGCAAGGAACCAAAAUUGCAUCCGAUGGCCUCAAGGGUCGUGUGUUUGAAGUGAGUCUUGCCGAUCUGCAGAAUGAUGAAGUUGCAUUUGGGAAACUCAAGCUGAUCACUGAAGAUGCUCGAGGCAAAAACUGUCUGACUAACUUCCGUGGCAUGGACCUGACCCGGGACAAAUAUGUGCUCCAUGGUCAAAAAAUGGCAGACCAUGACUGAAGCUCAUACUGAUGCCAAGACUACUGAUGGUUGCUUGCUUCGUCCGUUCUGUGUUGGUUUUACCAAAAAACGCAACAGAUACAGAAGACCUCUUGCGCUCAGCACCAACAGGUCCACCAGAUCCGGGAGAAGAUGAUGGAAAUCAUGACCCAGGAAGUGCAGACAAAUGACUUAAAAGAAGUGGUCAAUAAAUUGAUUCCAGACUGCCUUGGAAAAGACAUAGAAAAACCCUGCCAAUCUAUGUGUCCUCUUCAUGACGUCUUUGUUAGGAAAGUAAAAAUGCUGAAGAAGCCCAAGUUUGAAUUAGGAAAACUUAUGGAGCUGCAUGGUGAAGGUAGUAGCUCUGGAAAAACUACUGGGGAUGAGACAGGUGCUAAAGUUGAACGAGCUGAUGGAUAUGAACCACCAGUCCAGGAAUCUGUUUAACAUCCAGGCUUUUAAGAGUGACAAAUAAAAAGUCCUAUUUGAAA